rnacentral:rRNA from 1 species
GAUGAACGCUGGCGGCGUGCCUAAUACAUGCAAGUCGAGCGAAUGGAUUAAGAGCUUGCUCUUAUGAAGUUAGCGGCGGACGGGUGAGUAACACGUGGGUAACCUGCCCAUAAGACUGGGAUAACUCCGGGCAACCGGGGCUAAUACCGGAUAACAUUUUGAACCGCAUGGCUCGAAAUUGAAAGGCGGCUUCGGCUGUCACUUAUUGAUGGACCCGCGUCGCAUUAGCCAGUUGGUGAGGUAACGGCUCACCAAGGCAACGAUGCGUAGCCGACCUGAGAGGGUGAUCGGCCACACUGGGACUGAGACACGGCCCAGACUCCUACGGGAGGCAGCAGUAGGGAAUCUUCCGCAAUGGACGAAAGUCUGACGGAGCAACGCCGCGUGAGUGAUGAAGGCUUUCGGGUCGUAAAACUCUGUUGUUAGGGAAGAACAAGUGCUAGUUGAAUAAGCUGGCACCUUGACGGUACCUAACCAGAAAGCCACGGCUAACUACGUGCCAGCCGCCGCAGUAA